CGUUAAAACAAUCAGACGGCCAGUUAAUCCAAAGAAACUCAUCCAAAGGGUAGAAAGGAUAAUUACACAGCGCAACAGAGUACAGCGGUAGGCCCUCUUGGCUCCAGUUCCAACUCCAGUCUGCCUCAGCCCUGCGCAGUCAACCGUCAGCAGCGCCACUGGGUGCAGGGAUAUCCCGAUGAAAAGGGAGACUGUUCGGGGUGAAGAAUUCAGGCAAGAUUUAACUACACUCAUCCGUCAUGAAGUGAAGCGGUUGACUAAUUAACCAUCACUCUGAGACAAAAGCCUGUCAUCAUGAAAAUAAUGAAUAUGGAAUGAAAAUCGUGUUGACUGAGUCACUGGAACAUUUCAGAUAAUUUCCUCGUAAGGAGAGGCUGCUAUAAAACUGGUUCAGUUCUCUUGGUCUUUGUCUGCUGAUACUCUUCAUUAGCCCGUAUUAUUAAAAUUGCUGUCC
ensembl:lncRNA